CCUCCAUUUCUUGGCGGGUAUCGGGCGUGCGGUCCCGCUCCCCGUAAUGUACGGAGGCAGAGCGACAGGGCUGCGGCCCGCUCGGCGACAUGUCUUCGGUGCCGGCGGCGGCCCGUCCGCCGGUUCUAUCCUCAGGCGCCGAGACAGCC